UACGAAGGGGGCUAGCGUUGUUCGGAAUCACUGGGCGUAAAGCGCACGCAGGCGGAUUGAUCAGUCAGGGGUGAAAUCCCGGAGCUCAACUUCGGAAUUGCCUUUGAUACUGUCUGUCUUCGAGUUCGGGAGAGGUUGGCGGAAUUCCUAGUGUAGAGGUGAAAUUCGUAGAUAUUAGGAAGAACACCAGUGGCGAAGGCGGCCAACUGGCCCGAUACUGACGCUCAUGUGCGAAAGCGUGGGGAGCAAACAGG
rnacentral:rRNA from 1 species